UCAUCAAAGGUGAUCCCGCUGCCCAGUCGGCUUUGCCCCGCGACGCGGAGUUCAAAGGACGGAGAUCGGUUGGCAAAUGAGUGCUGUUGCUCAGCGCACAGUCAGCCGAAACAACAACAAAGAUAAGGCCGAGCCCUUUUCAGCAGCAGACAUACGGCUUCACUCUGGGGACCAUGAAGCAAGGGGCCUCAGAGGUAUUUUUCCAGAUAUCUGAUUUAUUCCACCUCCCCAAAACAACAGAGGUAAACAGUGAAAUCUUUGGACAAAAACAAAAACUGCAGUUCCAAAAACCUCAAGUUAUCCGCAAUUCAAGAAAUCACAUUAAUCCCCAUGUUCUUUUGAUAUUUAUUUGACAGAAACUAAAAGUAUUUGAUAAAUAUGUACAAAAUUAC